GGUAAUUAAUCUGUCAAACAUUUUCAUGUAACUCUUUAAAAACACAGCAAAACCCAAACGAUCUGGACAAGUUUACAUCUAGCUGAUUCGGUCUCAAUCCUAUUACGUGUCUUGUGACAAAAUAUGAAGACUUGUUUGUUGCUGUUGCUUGUGAUCGCAGGGUGUUGUUCGGUCCCAUUAGACAUCCCGGAGCAAUGUUUAUUUGCUUGCACGCUGAUCUAUUCUCCAGUAUGUGGAGAUAAUGGUGUUACCUAUGACAACAGAUGCAACAUGAGGUUUCAGGCAUGCAUCAAUGGAAUUACAAUAGCGGUUCAACACACCGGACCGUGUGACGACAGUUAGAAUGUUUGACUGACGUGAAUAAAACAAAGAAAUUAUA